AGUAAAAAUAUAACAGAUUCGGACAAAAAUGUAGAGGAACAUGAUGAAAUGAGCGUUGAAGACGAGGAAUUGUCAACGAUCGAAGACGUAUUAUUAUCAGGUCUUCAUUUCGUAUGUGGUCCCUCAGGGUUACACCCAGUAUCGACCUCUCCAUCUUUCUUUGCGUUACGUUGAGCCUCCUGGUAAUGGCCACCGUUAAUGUUAAAGUUUCGGAACCGUAUAUCAUAACCAAAGGAGGAACCACGCAUUGAUUGACAGCCUUUCUUUUCAAAUAUACAGGAAUAUCGCCCAUGAAAAUGUCUCUAAGUUUCCUGUAGGCUGCCUUUGAUUAUUAUCUCUUGAUACACGAACCUCAUGGCCAAGAUAUAUGGCUGCGAUGCGAACCAACUGAGAUGAGUACUUUAAGAACAAUAGUGGAAAAGACAAGAAAAGAUAGAGUUAGGAACAAAAUUGUAAGAGAAUUUUGUGGAUUCGGAUAUGUCAUGAGAUUUGCUAGGGGAGAAAUAAAAAAAUUUUAUGAAUACUUCCAAAGAAUGGAAGAAACCUGGCUGAUUAAGACAAAAGAGACCAAAGAUUAGCUAGAAAGAGAUUCCGGGAGACCAGGAAGUUGGAUUUCCAGCUCUAAUGAAACACCAUGAAUGAUGCGUAAAAAACAGGUUACAACCUGAAUAAAA